rnacentral:rRNA from 1 species
ACAAGCAGUGGGAGCACAGAGCAAUCUGUGUGACUGCGUACCUUUUGUAUAAUGGGUCAGCGACUUAUAUUCUGUAGCAAGGUUAACCGAAUAGGGGAGCCGAAGGGAAACCGAGUCUUAACUGGGCGUUAAGUUGCAGGGUAUAGACCCGAAACCCGGUGAUCUAGCCAUGGGCAGGUUGAAGGUUGGGUAACACUAACUGGAGGACCGAACCGACUAAUGUUGAAAAAUUAGCGGAUGACUUGUGGCUGGGGGUGAAAGGCCAAUCAAACCGGGAGAUAGCUGGUUCUCCCCGAAAGCUAUUUAGGUAGCGCCUCGUGAAUUCAUCUCCGGGGGUAGAGCACUGUUUCGGCAAGGGGGUCAUCCCGACUUACCAACCCGAUGCAAACUGCGAAUACCGGAGAAUGUUAUCACGGGAGACACACGGCGGGUGCUAACGUCCGUCGUGAAGAGGGAAACAACCCAGACCGCCAGCUAAGGUCCCAAAGUCAUGGUUAAGUGGGAAACGAUGUGGGAAGGCCCAGACAGCCAGGAUGUUGGCUUAGAAGCAGCCAUCAUUUAAAGAAAGCGUAAUAGCUCACUGGUCGAGUCGGCCUGCGCGGAAGAUGUAACGGGGCUAAACCAUGCAC